GAUGGUACUCGCAAGAGUUUAAUAGGGAAGAAUGGUGAGAGUCCAUCACAGACCCGCUGCUGUAAUAGGCAUUAGUUAAAUUCUAAACAAUAAACCACUGUUUUAAGUAACGGGAAGGUGUUUAGAAAGCCUUAAGUCAGAAGACCUGCCAUUAAUAUAAA
rnacentral:ncRNA from 1 species